rnacentral:misc_RNA from 1 species
AAGUCGUAACAAGGUUUCCGUAGGUGAACCUGCAGAAGGAUCAUUAACACGUAUCCAACGUUAAACCCCCUGUGAACCUUCAUUGUACGAGUUACAUCCACGUCAUAAACCGGCAAUCUCUGGUAAAUCAUCGCCGAACAGUUUUUAUUCAGAGACCUCUGGGAAGGGUGUACGGUAGUGCGAGGCAAUUGACCUGUCUGAAAGUGUCACUAGCUAUGUACGGAUGGCGCAGUAACGAUCGCUGGAGGCCGACACGGCCGGCGACCAGGUCACUGGGCUACGGCCCCCCUGAUCACAACCUUUGCAUGAAAACGGGCCUGCGCUGAGGUGCGGCCACCCCUAAUGCUUGAACAACUGUUAACAAUGGAUAUCUUGGUUCUC